UUCAAGCUGGUCAUUUAAACGACAUCCCAACAGAGAAGAGCAAAGCAAUUUGGUAAUAGAGAUUGUGUGAGUAGAAGGCAGAUCAUCAUUAUGUUUGAGUGAUUUUUUGGUAGGCUGUGGGAAUCCAGUUCGCAACUUUUUGUCUCUCUCUUAGUAAGAUGCCCGAAGUCCUCCAGAUUUUCUGAGUUGACAGCUUAACAGAAUCGGAAUUAGAAGGAAUUUGGGACUUUGACUCUUUCGUCAGAAGAGACAUAAGUAGAGCACAUGUCAAAAUGUCACCAAAACGCAAGCACAUCAAAAUCUAGCCAAGAUUUAAUUACUGCACAGAUCUUGGACAGCAUUCUAUCCAUUUAUAUUUAUUCUAUAUUUUAGCAACUGCGUUGACAAGUAGGGCUGUCAAAUUGCAACUAAAUACUUCUGACUUGAAGCUAUGUUAAAAUGUCUGAAAGCCAUUCGAUUAGCCUUAAAAGCGCUCGAAUGUAUACGAAGUUCCAUAUGGUACCAUAUAUUUUACACGCACACACCCAUACUUAGCAUUCGUAUAUUGUACAAGCAGCAACUGCAUAAUUUUAGCUGUCAAAAUAUGUAAAGCUUCGAAAGCUCGCUAUAGCUAGAAACAAAAUUUAAAGGCAGUGCGGCGAUGUACACAUGCUUAUACAAAAAUAUAAAAUAAAUAUAAGACUUUGCACCCAUUUUCCGCCCGUGAAAAUACCUUAAUCUUUCCAUACUACUGUUUGUCAGCGGGAUGCAAAGUGCGCAGCACGUCUUCAAAGCUAUUGUAGAAUGUGCCUAAACCAGUUCGAAUGAAAAACAUAACUAUAAUUCGCUUAUGUUCCGGUAUCUUCCAUAAGUAUUUAAGCCUUCAAGCUCUGACAGUUUGCGCUCAUCAGUCACUUCAUCAAUCAAUCAGAACAAACAGUUGCACUUACAUACAUACACUGGUGACGCUUGCCUGAACUGUCAUUUUGAUUAUUACGAGCGAAGUGGAAAACUAUUCAAGCCUUGCGACAAAACACAAAAUAAAUGAAUGCCAUUAAUUAGCAAGCACUAAGUCCACGUCUGGCAACCUCCUCCCAUUACCAUCAUGGAAGCAGAAUUGAUAAUAUUGUUAAUAGGUAUCGUAUUAGGUAUCGAGAGAGUAUCAAGUUAGACGGGCUGAUAAGCAGCAAGCCAAGAAGGAAGACAAUACUUAAGAAUAUCCUCAUAGAAGCCUGGAUCAUUCAGUUAAUCUAGUUCUUACGCACUGGAAGAAACUUUUUCCUAAUUUUCAUGAUACAAAUAAAAAUUGUUUGCA